rnacentral:rRNA from 1 species
GACGAACGCUGGCGGCGUGCUUAACACAUGCAAGUCGAGCGGUAAGGCCCUUUCGGGGGUACACGAGCGGCGAACGGGUGAGUAACACGUGGGUGACCUGCCCUCAGCUCUGGGAUAAGCCCGGGAAACUGGGUCUAAUACUGGAUAUGACUCCAUGACGCAUGUUGUGGGGUGGAAAGCCUUGUGCGGCUGAGGAUGGGCCCGCGGCCUAUCAGCUUGUUGGUGGGGNGAUGGCCUACCAAGGCGACGACGGGUAGCCGGCCUGAGAGGGCGACCGGCCACACUGGGACUGAGACACGGCCCAGGACUCCUACGGGAGGCAGCAGUGGGGAAUCUUGCGCAAUGGGCGAAAGCCUGACGCAGCGACGCCGCGUGAGGGAUGACGGCCUGA